rnacentral:rRNA from 1 species
CCUACGGGGGGCAGCAGUGGGGAAUAUUGGACAAUGGGGGCAACCCUGAUCCAGCCAUGCCGCGUGUGUGAAGAAGGCCCUCGGGUUGUAAAGCACUUUCAGUGAGGAAGAACGCCUGGUGGUUAAUACCCAUCAGGAAAGACAUCACUCACAGAAGAAGCACCGGCUAACUCCGUGCCAGCAGCCGCGGUAAUACGGAGGGUGCGAGUGUUAAUCGGAAUUACUGGGCGUAAAGCGCGCGUAGGUGGCUUGAUAAGCCGGUUGUGAAAGCCCCGGGCUCAACCUGGGAACGGCAUCCGGAACUGUCAAGCUAGAGUGCAGGAGAGGAAGGUAGAAUUCCCGGUGUAGCGGUGAAAUGCGUAGAGAUCGGGAGGAAUACCAGUGGCGAAGGCGGCCUUCUGGACUGACACUGACACUGAGGUACGAAAGCGUGGGUAGCAAACAGGAUUAGAUACCCCAGUAGUC